ensembl:lncRNA
UUAUUGAAUAAAAAUGUUUUUGUAACCUGGGAACCACGAGCCCUUGCCUGUUGAGUGAAACGAACCCGCGUGCUUUAAAAGGUCUUGGGCCUAUCCCAAGUGGCGUUGCCGGUAGAAUAGGGAACCAUUUCGCCACACUUGGCGUUGCUGGCAGGACUCUCUCUCAUAACGGCAAGGACGUGUGUUCCCGGGAUGUUUUUAGUUUUUUUUGUUGGUUCACUAAUGUCUGUCUUGUAGGCAUUUGGGUUUAAGGGGACAAAGCAGCAGUGGUUUCCAGUGGAUCUUCAUGCCAGUCUGAGGUACAGCUUUGUGGCAAGGUGAUGCCCCACUCUGGAGUUCUGGUUGUGAAAGAUCCCCCAGGUGGUGUUCCGGCUCAAGUGCCUGGUAUUCUGGGCAUGAAUGUCAUCCGUAAAUGCUACCAAGAGCUCUUUGGGCAGCAUGGCCUAACCUUGUUUUCUCAGCCCUGUGUUUCUGAGGCUCCGGGGCCGAUUGUGCGAGCACUGCAGCAGUGUUAUUAUGCGGAGGUUCCUCAGGAUAGCCCAGGAAGAGUAAAGUGUUGUUUGAGCCCUUGGAGUCUGGGUUGCCUAGUGGCUUGCUUGCUUCUCCUGCCCUGGUUCAAGUAGUUAGGGGCACAGCCUACAUACCAGUGGUUAAUGUCGGCUCUGUUGAGGCUGUGCUGCACCCCCGCACAGUUAUUGGCACCCUGGGCCCCGUCAAUGUCAUCAGCCUUCCUGCAGGAGUGACUGAGGUGCCGUC